UACGAAGGGUGCAAGCGUUACUCGGAAUUACUGGGCGUAAAGCGUGCGUAGGUGGUUUGUUAAGUCUGUUGUGAAAGCCCCGGGCCCAACCGGAAAAUGGCCUUUGAUACUGGCGAGCUCGAGUGCGUGAGGGGUAACCGGAACGAGCAGUGUAGCGGUGAAAUGCGUAGAUAUUGCUCGGAAGGCCAACGGCGAAGGCAGGUUACUGGUGCGCAACUGACACUGAGGCACGAAAGCGUGGGGAGCAAACAGG
rnacentral:rRNA from 1 species